UGGAUAUCCAUGCCGUGGCUUGAGCCAAAGAGCCAGCUAGCUCAUUGCCAGCCAGCUGGCUGCUCGGCUUCCGUUCCAUUCUGCCGAGUUUGUUGCACGCUACAUUAUUUCAACGCCUGCCGUGCCGUAUGUAUGUACUUUUUGAAAACACAAUUUUUCUCCGACAUCGCAAAGACCGCGAUAAGAACGUGUGAACUGUGAUUGCGGGCUUUCGCGGUGUUCAUCCUGCGUCAUCAGAAAGUCUCACUGUCGGCAGCACUACUGAGGCGUCAUCGCUUUCAUCUUGGGAAGACUCAAGUUGGGCCUGGAACAUCGUUAUCUACGAAAUUCCAAAAAUUGGGUCCAUACCUUAAAAGGAGCACCAACCGAAAAAGUAUGCCUUGGACUUCACAGAACUGAAUGCGCUUCCCUGCUGAAUUGCUGUGGUCAUUCCGCUUCAGGGCCGAUGUCAUCAAGUAUCCAACAACACGUGCAAGUUGGGACGUCGCUACCACCGCCAUCAGCAUGGGAGAACGAACCCCAUUAUGAUGCUACGCUUCGCCCGUCAUGCCCGGAGGACCCUUUUGGAGCACCAGCGACAUCUCGCAUGUCAGCGAGACUUCAUGAAAGGCUGAGCGUGACCCAUGCGCGCUUCACUAGGCUUGGUGGAACCAUUCGGAGCACCAUGCUAAACUGCGUGUUCUUCGUUCAACAGGUGAUUGAUGUCUAGAAAAAGAAGUUGUCGACAAGCACAUGGACGCCUGCUGCAAACUUUCCAUUCAGGGCAACAGGAGCAAGAAAAUUGAUGUUUCAGUGCCAGUGGCUGCAGUGAUCGAACUGGCUCGUCUAUUCCAAAGAGAAUGGCGCCUUUUGUAAAUAUUGUGUCCUUUUCGCUCCAUCUGGGGUCGGUGUGCGAAGCCUGCCCUCAGGCAAACUUGUGAUGUCAAAGUUUGACAAAUGGAAAAAUGCGAUUGAGGCUUUUAACAAGAAUGAGAAAAAGUCGUUUCACAGAAACAGCGUCUUUGACGCGGACAAUUUUCUAGCAGUUUUAGAUAGCAAGAAGAACCCUAUUGACCAUGAUCUUGACCACAGGCUAAGAGAGAAAAUAGCCAAGAAUAGAAAAAAACCUUACUCCUCUUAUUAUAACGGUAGUCUGGUGCGGAAGACAGGGAGUUGCUCUUCGAAGUCAUAGAGAUGGAGGGCGAAUAGAUUUGUCGAGCGAGCCUGCAGAGAAUGAAGGGAAUUUCAAGGCCUUGGCUUAGGUUGUGCGCCCGUAACGGGGAUGAUUUUCUGAAGAGUCACUUCAAAGAAUGUGGCGCUAAUGCAACUUGCACUAGUUGGAGAACCCAAAAUGAGAUUAUCUCAGCAUGCCAUUGCAUUAUUCUGCGAAAGCAGCUAGUUUCUAAAGUCAAAGUUGCUAAAUGUUUCGCAAUAUUAGCUGAUGAGACAGCCGAUAUAGCCGGCGUUGAGCAGCUUUCAAUUUGUGCACGCUACGUGGAAAAAAUUGAAAUUCGGGAAGAGUUUCUGCAGUUUGUCCCUGUUAGUGACCUAACUAGAAGGGGCCUGGUCGAUACAAUUUUAAAAGGCUUGAGAACUAUAUGCAUUGCAACCGAGUACCUCAGAGCUCAAGGGUAUGACGGUGCAGCCCCAAUGAGUGGUGCUUACAACGGCGUUCAAGCACUCGUCCAACAGCAGUGUGCUAACACCAUUUAUGUUCAAUGUCACUCUCACAGCCUUAAUUUGAGUCUGUAGAGUGCAUGCUCUGUGCCUCAGAUUAGAAAUUGCAUGGGUACUGUGGCGAAAGUUGGUGAGUUUUUUCAUGCGAGUCCAAAACGCGAGGCUGCUCUAGGUUACCAAAUUGAAAAGUUAAUACCGAAGGCUCGUGUGACACACCUGAAGUCACUUUGUCCAACGAGAUGGGUUCAGAGACACGAUGCUCUGAAUGUGUUUGUAAACAUUCUCCAGCCAGUUUUGUCUAGUCUCCAAGACACUAGUGAAAGCUAGAAUGAUCGAGAAUUUUCGUGCAAUGCUCAAAUCGUUCUUAGCGCUUUGCAGAUAGGUGAAUUUCUCGUCUUACUUUUUGUUGCAGAAAAAAUUUUCUCCAUAAGUUUGCCGUUAAGCAAAUACUCGCAAACCGUCAGCUUAGAUUUUUUCUCCGUUCUAAGGUUGGCUGAUGAUGUUUUGUUUACUGCAUGUAACCUUAGAUCCCGUGCUGAAGAGGUAUUUCGUGAACUUUUUGAACAUGUUAUGUCAGUUUGUGAAAAGCUUGGUUAUUGAAGUGCCAAGGCUCAUUGGUCAGCAAAGAAUGUGCUCAAAUGUGCCUUCAUCGACUCCGGAGGAGUACUUCCAUCAUUGUGUAUUCCUCCCAUUUUUCGAAGCUUUAACAGAACAAAUUGAUGAGACAUUUGUGAAGCGCAAGAGCAUUCUUACUAAAUUUGAAAUUCUGUUUUCUUCUUCAUUAAGUCUGUUACCAAGUAAGGAUGAUGAAAAUGCGAUGCGCAUUCUCUGUAAGAGCUACAGUUCUGAUGUCGGGGACUCAGUUUUGUCUGCUGUAGGAGAGAUAUACCUUUGGUACAGUAAGCUUCAGCAGCUUGAAAAAUGCCCAAUGAGUCCUCUAGAAGGCCUGGAAUCCUGUCCAGGUGGCAUAUUUUCUGUGACCCAAAAACUACUUCAAAUUAUGGCUACUCUGCCAGUAGCGGCUUCUACAAGUGAGAGGUCCUUCUCAACUCUGAGAUGUCUUGAAAGCUAUCUUCGCAGCUCGAUUGGGGCGCUAAGGUUAGAUGGUCUAGCUUUUCAAAAUAUUCACCGAGAAGUUCCUUUAUCACCUGAAGAGAUUUUGGGCGAAUCGGCAACGAAGCCACGACGGCUGGGCUGUAGCUGUAGAAUGUCUCACCCACGAACACAUCACUGCUACAAAGACCUGCUUGAGAACACGAAUUGUGGGUGCUGCCUCCUGAAUAAUGGUUUUACACAGUCUUCAACAAGAUGUGCAUGCCUGUAGUUUAAUAUGUGUAUUUUUUCCGUUUUAAUUAGUUAUUUCAUCUGUGCUUAAUCAUACUGAUUUAUCCUUCCGGGCUCAGUUCACACUAUAUUAUCUUGCUCUUCGGUCACUUGACCAGUUGAUUAUUAACUUAUUUGCAAUGUUAGUAUGGUACUGUAAGUGAAGCUGUCUUGCUCGUGCAUUCUCUUCGUCCUUCCAACUGGCAUAACUUGCGCAUUCCUUGAAUUCUUCCACUACAUCAGUCAAUAGUAACCUAAAAUGCUUACGAAACUCACCGCUUCCAUGGCUGUAUAACUAAGAGCUUGAGCGGAUGACUCCUCUACAACUUGUCUCUGACGUGACCAUCGGCGCCGCUAUACUGUCUGUCACCAGUGCAACAUGCAAGCUUUCCCUGCGUAUAAAUUUGCUCCACACCCUGUUAUAUAGGCCCCUUUCUACUAUCAGAAGCAAGGCAUUUUACUUGUGCUCAUGCUGGUAACUUGCUUGUGAAUUAUGUAUAUGGUUUACUUCUCUCUGAGUUCUCUUCCCUAUGUUGCCGACAACAACUGGAAGACAACCAGCACAAGUGCACCAAACUAACACACCUGUGAUGACGCAGCUGCUUUGACAGAAACAAAUCCUUCUGUCGAAAUGUUAGACAGGACGACUUAGGCUCUUACCUGAUUUGACUUUAAUUUUGCUAACAAUGCCAUGAUGAUACGCGUGAACGGCCAACUAAGAAUCCUAGCUUACGAGAAUGAAUUUCUGAAGUAUUUUUCCUUACGUCAGGUAAACUUUCAGAUUUUAACCAUACAAGACGACCUUGAGAGAAUAAAUAUUUUUGGAAACAUUCUUGGAUAUAUAUUUCGUGUAGUAGUUCCUUCAAUAGACUGAGUUGGGAGAUAUUGCCUGUUUGUCUUCUCACCUUUAGUUUUUUCAUCUAUUGUGUGCGCCCCAAAAUGUUGCCAAGAAUGUCCUCAAACCAACUCACCCAACUUUCGAUACUAUUACAGAAUAAAUAUUAUAUACCUCUUAUAGACCUGAAUAAAGAAUUUCUCAGUGUGCUUGAA